CCCUUCGGGGUACUCGAGCGGCGAACGGGUGAGUAACACGUGGGCAACCUGCCCCUAGCUCUGGGACAACUCCGGGAAACCGGGGCUAAUACCGGAUACGACCUCGGAAGUCAUCUUCUGCGGUGGAAAGUUUUUCGGCUAGGGAUGGGCCCGCGGCCUAUCAGCUUGUUGGUGAGGUAACGGCCCACCAAGGCGACGACGGGUAGCCGGCCUGAGAGGGUGACCGGCCACACUGGGACUGAGACACGGCCCAG
rnacentral:rRNA from 1 species